CCUUGUACACACCGCCCGUCACGUCAUGAAAGUGGGAGACGCCUGAAGCCGGUGGGCUAACCCGUCAGGGAGGCAGCCGUCUAGGGUGGGGUCCGCGAUUGGGACG
rnacentral:rRNA from 1 species